UGGGGAAUAUUGCACAAUGGGCGAAAGCCUGAUGCAACAACGCCGCGUGAGUGAUGAAGGCCUUCGGGUUGUAAAGCUCUGUCUUUUGGGACGAUAAUGACGGUACCAAAGGAGGAAGCCACGGCUAACUACGUGCCAGCAGCCGCGGUAAUACGUAGGUGGCAAGCGUUGUCCGGAUUUACUGGGCGUAAAGGAUGCGUAGGCGGAUUUUUAAGUGAGAUGUGAAAACCCUAAGCUUAACCUGGGGACUGCAUUUCAUACUGGAAAUCUAGAGUGCGGGAGAGGAGAAUGGAAUUCCUAGUGUAGCGGUGAAAUGCGUAGAGAUUAGGAAGAACACCAGUGGCGAAGGCGAUUCUCUGGACCGUAACUGACGCUGAGGCAUGAAAGCGUGGGUAGCAAACAGGAUUAGAUACCCUGGUAGUCCACGCCGUAAACGAUGAGUACUAGGUGUAGGAGGUAUCGACCCCUUCUGUGCCGCAGUUAACACAAUAAGUACUCCGCCUGGGAAGUACGAUCGCAAGAUU
rnacentral:rRNA from 1 species